UGCGUAGGUGGUCGGGUCAGUCUGAUGUGAAAUCUCCGAGCCUAACUCGGAAACUGCAUUGGAUACUACUUGGCUGGAGGGUUGGAGGGGGGACUGGAAUUCUCGGUGUAGCAGUGAAAUGCGUAGAUAUCGAGAGGAACACCAGUGGCGAAGGCGAGUCCCUGGACAACUCCUGACACUGAGGCACGAAAGGCUAGGGGAGGCAAAUA
rnacentral:rRNA from 1 species